AUACUCAAAAUCAUUAUGCAGGUUGAUUCUUAAACCCAUUGAACAUAAUGAUCCGACGUCAUCUCCCAAUUUUGAAUUCCCUGUAUUCGAAGCGGAAGAAUAUGAUGUUGAAGGGAUUCCUGACGAGAUUUCCCGACUUCUUGAGCAAGAAAAGAAGAUCACUCAGCUGCAUCUCGAGAAUCAGCAGAACAGCCAACUGGGGCAUUAAAAAAAAGAUAAAAAAGAGGAGGGUGUAAAAUCAAAAGAAAUAAAAAAAAAAAUCAAAUCAAAAAUCAAAAGAAAGAAAAAAGAAAGAAAGAAGCAAAAGAAAAAUAGCACCCUCAAAGUCC
rnacentral:lncRNA from 1 species